CGUUGGUUAACUGCGGAGGGACAUUGAAUUAUUAAAACCACAAUGUGAACCUCAACGUUCCGUGCCCUGGCUUGCCAGUGGGGCGACUGGUUACAUCCGGUCGUACUCACAGCUGGGUGGGCAUUGUUGCCUGCUCAGUGGCGCCUUGGCAUGAUCAUACACCAGUGCUAACCACUGAUUAAACCAAACUCUGAAGUUUGAUUGCUAUUAAUUGGCAAUCCUAACCAAAGACAACUCUCAACAACGGAUAUCUUGGCUCUCGCAACGAUGAAGAACGCAGCGAAAUGCGAUACGUAGUGUGAAUUGCAGAAUUCCGUGAACCAUCGAAUCUUUGAACGCAUAUUGCGCUCGAGCCUUCGGGCAAGAGCAUGUCUGCCUCAGCGUCGGUUUACACCCUCACCCCUCCCUAUCUUGGGUGUGUUGAUCCUCUGAUCAGCCAUUGGGGUGGAUCUGGCUUCCCCAAUCUGCCUUGGUGUGGAUUGGGUUGGCUGAAGCAAAGAGGCUUAAGCAAGGACCCGAUAUGGGCUUCAACUGGAUAGGUAGCAACGGCUUAUGCCGACUACACGAAGUUGUUGCUUGUGGACUUUGUUAGAGGCCAAGCAGGAACAUGCGUUAUGCAUGCCUAAACUUUCGACCUGAGCUCAGGCAAGGCUACCCGCUGAACUUAAGCAUAUCAAUAAGCGGAGGAAAAGAAACUAAACGUGCGACCCUU
rnacentral:rRNA from 1 species